rnacentral:lncRNA from 1 species
CUCCCCAGUCCUUCCUAACAUAGCUGUUAGGUCUUUAACACUGUCUGUCAGUCUCUACCUCUGUCUCCCCAGUCCCUCCUAACAUAGCUGUUAGGUCUUUAACACUGUCUGUCAGUCUCUACCUCUGUCUCUGUCUCCCCAGCCCCUCCUAACAUAGCUGUUAGGUCUUUAACACUGUCUGUCAGUCUCUACCUCUGUCUCCCCAGUCCUUCCUAACAUAGCUGUUAGGUCUUUAACACUGUCUGUCAGUCUCUACCUCUGUCUCUGUCUCCCCAGUCCUUCCUAACAUAGCUGUUAGGUCUUU